UCGGGUCCUGGUCCCGAUGCAGACCGCUGCCUGCAGUCCGUCCGUUAGUCGUUCGCCUUCAAGACCCAGGACUACGAGUUACUUCCACGACGUCGAUUCUGCUGGGUUUCAGCCACGCUUGGCCUGUCCCUAGUGUCCCUGCACCACUCCACGCAGCGACUCAUCGACCUAGCAGCCUUCGACACGCACAUGUUCUGCAAUGACUUUACAAGAUUGACAGAUAUAAAACCAGUCCAGAAGGUUUCAACAGCCAUCGAUAGAUUAACCCAAUUGGCAGUGAAGAAAAUACCUUGUAGUGAAGACGCGAGGCAAAUGUUGGACAGAGCAUGCCAAAUGGAACCCAAAAGGAAAUGAGAACAAGACAUAUUAUGGCACUUGUAGCUCUGAACAUCGUCUGUGAGAAUGUCAAGGAACGGUCAGCAUGCUCAAUUUUGUUUGUGCAAGAGACUGACGACAUGCCAGCAACGCCAUGCGUGUCUUCUAAUAAUGGGGUCGUCCUUGAAGAUGCAGAGUUUUUCUGGCUGAUGGUAGACCAGACAAAGUGUUUUCAAGUGACUAAUGCAGAGGAAGGACUUGUCGCAAUUAUGUGUGCAAACUGGUUGUUCAAUGUUCAAUAUGCUUGUAAAGCGUUCAACACCCUUGUCGUCCUCGAAAGAUUUUUUCUUGAGCUCAAAAAGGCAACACCAAGGUCUGUUGUUGCAAAGUUCUUAAACAUUGUUGCAAAAUUCCUCGUAGCCAUAUGAUAACAGCUAUAUGGUAAUGUUCUUUCACAUUUGCCUUACUGCAUAUUUUUUAUGUUUGUUUGUAUUAGUGAUUAAAAAUUUAUUGAUUAUUAUUGCCGUUUUAGUGCUGCAUUAAUUUAUUUUGCAUUUGCUUCAGAAGUCGUGCAUGUUUCUCCUUUUGCAUAGCUGGGCACACAUGCUGUCAAGUAACCCAUGGUCAUUGAACUUCCUAGUUAUUACCAUAUUACAUUCCUGCAAGACAGGACUAUUGUGCAAUAAUUUUCGCUGCUUGUUUCUUAAUCUAAAUAAAAUUGCACUGCCUUGGUUAUGGUCAGAUUAUGUGGGCCAUUGUGAUAUAAUGCACAUUGCAAGAAGCAUGUGUAAAAUUUUGCAAUAGAUGUAAAUAAUUUAGAGAAAAACUGCCUUGUGGUACUUGUUCUUGAUAUUUAUUCUGCACAAAUCCAUAUUUAUUUCUAGAAGGCAUAAAAAACAGAUUUCUUUAAAAGUGAGGGUGAUGUGCAUCAACAUAGCUCUGUUGUUUUUAUAUAUGCACAAUAUCUUUAACUUGGUAAGGCUGAACCAUGAUUUAGCCAUGCCAGGUUUAACUGCAAAUUAAGUUGCUGAAAUAUGUGUAUUCUCUGCAUCCUGCAAUAAACAGGCACACUGCUUUGAGUACCAUAUAU